rnacentral:tRNA from 177 species
CGCGGGGUGGAGCAGCUCGGUAGCUCGCUGGGCUCAUAACCCAGAGGUCCAUGGUUCAAAUCCAUGCCCCGCUACCA